CUUAAUUGCUGUAUUGGAUUACCGGGUGCAGUUUGGACGACAGGUGCUGUUUUACAUCUGCAAAGGUCAAGUGGUUAAGAAAGCCACACGUGUCUCAUUCCUGCCAAACACUGAGGACGGUUCCCUGUCGGUCCCUCUGCACACCGUCUGAUAGCAGCUCUGCAUUGUCAUUGUGCCAGAAACGGCUGCUGCUGAAGCUGCAGUGCAGGAAACUUGCAUCCACAAUCCUGUCAUUGCGUGAGCCGGAGUGAAUUCCCUCCUUUCCCAGGAUUGUUCUGUCAAGGAAUAGAGAUCGUGUUUUUCUCAGGCUCAGACUUUCAAUAAAACACGGCUCAACUGGAA